AACACAUGCAAGUCGAGCGGUUGAGGGGAGCUUGCUCCCUGAUUCAGCGGCGGACGGGUGAGUAAUGCCUAGGAAUCUGCCUGGUAGUGGGGGAUAACGUUUCGAAAGGAACGCUAAUACCGCAUACGUCCUACGGGAGAAAGCAGGGGACCUUCGGGCCUUGCGCUAUCAGAUGAGCCUAGGUCGGAUUAGCUAGUUGGUGGGGUAAUGGCCCACCAGCAGGCGACGAUCCGUAACUGGUCUGAGAGGAUGAUCAGUCACACUGGAACUGAGACACGGUCCAGACUCCUACGGGAGGCAGCAGUGGGGAAUAUUGGACAAUGGGCGAAAGCCUGAUCCAGCCAUGCCGCGUGUGUGAAGAAGGUCUUCGGAUUGUAAAGCACUUUAAGUUGGGAGGAAGGGUUGUAGAUUAAUACCUUGCUGUUUUGACGUUACCAACAGAAUAAGCACCGGCUAACUUCGUGCCAGCAGCCGCGGUAAUACGAAGGGUGCAAGCGUUAAUCGGAAUUACUGGGCGUAAAGCGCGCGUAGGUGGUUUGUUAAGUUGGAUGUGAAAGCCCCGGGCUCAACCUGGGAACUGCAUCCAAAACUGGCAAGCUAGAGUACGGUAGAGGGUGGUGGAAUUUCCUGUGUAGCGGUGAAAUGCGUAGAUAUAGGAAGGAACACCAGUGGCGAAGGCGACCACCUGGACUGAUACUGACACUGAGGUGCGAAAGCGUGGGGAGCAAACAGGAUUAGAUACCCUGGUAGUCCACGCCGUAAACGAUGUCGACUAGCCGU
rnacentral:rRNA from 1 species